rnacentral:rRNA from 1 species
GGAAUCUUGCACAAUGGGGGAAACCCUGAUGCAGCGACGCCGCGUGAGCGAUGAAGCCCUUCGGGGUGUAAAGCUCUUUCGGCAGGGAAGAUAAUGACGGUACCUGCAGAAGCAGCUGCGGCUAACUACGUGCCAGCAGCCGCGGUAAUACGUAGGCAGCAAGCGUUGUUCGGAGUUACUGGGCGUAAAGGGUGCGUAGGCGGCCCUUCAAGUUUGUCGUGAAAUCUCCCGGCUUAACCGGGAGGGUGCGGCGAAGACUGAGGGGCUGGAGUGCGGGAGAGGAGAGUGGAAUUCCUGGUGUAGCGGUGAAAUGCGUAGAUAUCAGGAGGAACACCGGCGGUGUAGACGGCUCUCUGGACCGUAACUGACGCUGAGGCACGAAAGCGUGGGUAGCAAAC